rnacentral:lncRNA from 1 species
CUCCUGCUGCCUGAGACUCCGAGAGCCGCUCUCCCAGGCUCCCCGCUGCAGCGGCGGGGCUGCCAGGGGCGGCACACUCCAGCGCCAGCCAGAGAGCUAGCGCCGCUUGAGGCCGGCCGGGGACGAGGCGCUUUACACUGCCUGAUGGGUACUAGCAGCCCACCCCAGCCAGAUGGAGGACAAGGCCUCUCCAAGUCUCAAGGAAAUGCACAAUCCUUCCUUACCUCUGGCCUCAGAACUCUCAGCAUCUCAUUGAUUAGCAACCUCAUCUGUGGCAAAUCUAAGGAACACCUUCUACUUAAAAUUGAAGUCUUCUGGGCUGGGUGUGGUGGCUCAUUCCUGUAAUCCCAGCACUUUGGGAGGCCAAGGAGUGCGGAUCACGAAGUCAGGAGUUCGAGACCAGCCUGGCCAACAUAGUGGAACCCUGUCUCUACUAAAAAUACAAAAAUUAGCCGGGUGUGGUGGCACAUGCCUGUAGUCCCAGCUACUCGGGAGGCUGAGAAGAUAGAAAAGUCAGGUUUACAGAAACAUGGAAAUACAUCAUUGAUUAUCAAUUUUUGUUAUACUGGAGAACAUUUGGAGAUUUGUAUAUUUUUGAGGGAUGAGUUAGAAAUGAUGGCUUUAGUGUUUACUAGCAUAAUUUGCAUGUGAAACUUCUGACAUAAAUGAAAUAUAACUGCAUAUAUGUCUCCUGUCAGGCCUCUGAGCCCAAGCUAAGCCAUCAUAUCCCCUGUGACCUGCACGUACACAUCCAGAUGGCCGGUUCCUGCCUUAACUGAUGACAUUCCACCACAAAAGAAGUGAAAAUGGUCUGUUCCUGCCUUAACUGAUGACAUUGUCUUGUGAAAUUCCUUCUCCUGGCUCAUCCUGGCUCAAAAGCUCCCCCACUGAGUACCUUGUGAUCCCCACUCCUGCCCACCAGAAAACAACCCCCUUUGAGGACAUGCAUGAAAUUUGGUGCCGUGACUCAGAUCGUGACCUCCCUUGGGAGGUCCUCCUGUUCUUUGCUCCUUGAGAAAGAUCCACCUAUGGUCCUCAGACCGACCAGCCCAAGAAACAUCUCACCAAUUUCAAAUCUGGUAAGCGGCCUCUUCUUACUCUCUUCUCCAACCUCCCUCACUAUCCCUCAACCUCUUUCUCCUUUCAAUCUUGGUGCCACACUUCAAUCUCUCCCUUCUUUUAAUUUCAAUUCCCUUCAUUUUCUGGUAGAGACAAAGGAGACACGUUUUAUCCGUGGACCCAAAACUCCGGCGCCGGUCACGGACUGGGAAGGCAGCCUUCCCUUGGUGUUUAAUCAUUGCAGGGACGCCUCUCUGAUUAUUCACCCAGGUUUUAGAGGUGUCAGACCACGCAGGGACGCCUGCCUUAGUCCUUCACCCUUAGCGGCAAGUCCUGCUUUUCUAGGGGAGAGGCAAGUACCCCAACCCCUUCUCUCUGUGUCUCUACCCCUUCUCCACCUUUCUGGGGGGCAAGAAACCCGUAACCCCUUCUUCUUCACUCUUAGCAGCAAGUCCCGCUUUUCUAGAGGGGCAAGUACCCCAACUUCAUAUCUCUGCACCCCAAUCCCUUAUUUCCAUGCCCCAACCUCUUAUCUCUGUGCCCCAAUCCCUUAUUUCCACGCCCCAACCCCUUUCCUGCUUUUCUGGAAGGUAAGAACCCCCGAACCCCUUCCCUCUGUGUCUCUACUCUCUCUUUUCUCUAGGCUUGCUUCCUUCACUAUGGGCAACCUUCCACUCUCCAUUCCUCCUUCUUCUCCCUUAGCCUGUGUCCUCAAAAACUUAAAACCUCUUCAACUCACACCUGACCUAAAAUCUAAGCAUCUUAUUUUCUUCUGCAAUACCGCUUGACCCCAAUACAAACUCGACAGUAGUUCCAAACAGCCGGAAAACGGCACUUUCAAUUUUUCCAUCCUACAAGAUCUAAAUAAAUCUUGUUGUAAAGUGGGCAAAUGGUCUGAGGUGCCUGACGUCCAGGCAUUCUUUUACACGUCGGUCCCUCUCUAGUCUCUGUUCCCAAAGCAACUGUUCCCAAAUCUUCCUUCUUUCCCUCCCACCUGUCCCCUCAGUCCCAACCCCAAGCGUCGCUGAGUCUUUCUAAUCUUCCUUUUCUACAGACCCAUCUGACCUCUCCCCUCCUCCCCAGGCUGCUCCUCGCCAGGCCGAGCUAGGUCCCAAUUCUUCCUCAGCCUCCGCUCCUCCACCCUAUAAUCCUUUUAUCACCUCCCCUCCUCACACCUGGUCCGGCUUACAGUUUCUUUCUGUGACUAGCCCUCCCCCACCUGCCCAUCGGUGGCUGGAGCUAAAGGCAUAGUCAAGGUUAAUGCUUCUUUUUCUUUAUCCCAAAUCAGAUAGCAUUUAGGCUCUUUUUCAUCAAAUAUAAAAAUCCAGCCCAGUUCAUGGCUCCUUUGGCAGCAACCCUGAGACACUUUACAGCCCUAGACCCUAAAAGGUCAAAAGGCCGUCUUAUUCUCAAAAUACAUUUUAUUACCCAAUCUGCUCCCAACAUUAAAUAAAACUCCAAAAAUUAAAUUCCGGCCCUCAAACCCCACAACAGAAUUUAAUUAACCUCACCUUCAAGGUGUACAAUAAUAGAAAAAAGUUGCAAUUCCUUGCCUUCACUGUGAGACAAACCUCAGCCACGUCUCCAGCACACAAGAACUUCCAAACGCCUGAACCUCAGCGGCCAGGCAUUCCUCCAGAACCUCCUCCCCCAGGAGCUUGCUACAAGUGCCAGAAAUCUGGCCACCAGGCCAAGGAAUGCCUGCAGCCCAGGAUUCCUCCUAAGCCACGUCCCAUCUGUGCGGGACCCCACUGGAAAUUGGACUGUCCAACUCACCUGGCAGCCACUCCCAGAGCCCCUGGAACUCUGGCCCAAGGCUCUCUGACUGCUUCCCAGAUCUUCUUGGCUUAGUGGCUGAAGACUAACGCUGCCCGAUCGCCUCGGAAGCCCCCUAGACCAUCACGGACGCUGAGCUUCGGGUAACUCUCACAGUGGAGGGUAAGUCCGUCCCCUUCUUAAUCAAUACUGAGGCUACCCACUCCACAUUACCUUCUUUUCAAGGGCCUGUUUCCCUUGCCUCCAUAACUGUUGUGGGUAUUGACAGCCAGGCUUCUAAACCUCUUAAAACUCCCCAACUCUGGUGCCAACUUAGACAAUACUCUUUUAGGCACUCCUUUUAGUUAUCCCCACCUGCCCAGUUCCCUUAUUAGGCCGAGACACUUUAACUAAAUUAUCUGCUUCCCUGACUAUUCCUGGAUUACAGCUAUAUUUCAUUGCCUCCCUUCUUCCCAAUCCAAAGCCUCCUUUGCAUCCUCUUGUAUUCCCCGACCUUAACCCACAAGUAUAAGAUACAUCUACUCCCUCCUUGGCGACCGAUCAUGCACCCCUUACCAUCUCAUUAAAACCUAAUCACCCUUACCCCACUCAAUGCCAAUAUCCCAUCCCGCAGCAUGCUUUGAAAGGAUUAAAGCCUGUUAUCGCUCGCCUGCUACAGCAUGGCCUUUUAAAGCCUGUAAACUCUCCUUACAAUUCCCCCAUUUUACCUGUCCAAAAACCGGACAAGUCUUACAGAUUAGUUCAGGAUCUGUGCCUUAUCAACUAAAUUGUUUUGCCUAUCCAUCCUGUGGUGCCCAACCCGUACACUCUUUUGUCCUCAAUACCUUCCUCCACAACUCACUAUUCCGUUCUCCAUCUUAAAGAUGCUUUUUUCACUAUUCCCCUGCACCCCUCGUCCCAGCCUCUCUUUGCUUUCACUUAGACUGACACUGACACCCAUCAGGUUCAGCAAGUCACCUGGGCUGUACUGCCGCAAGGCUUCACAGACAGCCCCCAUUACUUCAGUCAAGCCCAAAUUUCAUCCUCAUCUGUUACCUAUCUCGGCAUAAUUCUCAUAAAAGCACACGUGCUUUCGCUGCUGAUCGUGUCCAAUUAAUCUCCCAAACCUCAAUCCCUUACAAAACAACAACUCCUUUCCUUCCUAGGCAUAGUUAGUGCGGUCAGAAUUCUUACACAAGAGCCAGGACUGCACCCUGUAGCCUUUCUGUGCAAACAACUUGACCUUACUGUUUUAGCCUAGCCCUCAUGUCUGCGUGCAGUGGCUGUCGCUGCUUUAAUACUUUUAGAGGCCCUAAAAAUCACAAACUAUGCUCAACUCACUCCCCACAUUUCUCAUAACUUCCAAAAUCUAUUUUCUUCCUCAUACCUGAAGCAUAUACUUUCUGCUCCCCGGCUCCUUCAGCUGUACUCACUCUUUGCUAAGUCCCACAAUUACCACUGUUCCUGGCCUAGACUUCAAUCCGGCCUCCCACAUUAUUCCUGAUACCACACCUGACCCCCAUGACUGUAUCUCUCUGAUCCACCUGACAUUCACCCCAUUUCCCCAAAUUUCCUUCUUUCCUGUUCCUCACCCUGAUCAUGCUUGAUUUAUUGAUGGCGGUUCCACCAGGCCUAAUCGCCACACACCAGCAAAGGCAGGUUAUGCUAUAGUACAAGCCACUAGCCCGCCUCCUAGAACCUCUCAUUUCCUUUCCAUCGUGGAAAUCUAUCCUCAAGGAAAUAACUUCUCAGUGUUCCAUCUGCUAUUCUACUACUCAUCAGGGAUUAUUCAGGCCCCCUCCCUUCCCUACACAUCAAGCUCGAGGAUUUGCCCCACCCAGGACUGGCAAAUUAGCUUUACUCAACAUGCCCCGAGUCAGAUAACUAAAAUACCUCUUAGUCUAGGUAGACACUUUCACUGGAUAGGUAGAGUCCUUUCCUACAGGGUCUGAGAAGGCCACCGCAGUCAUUUCUUCCCUUCUGUCAGACAUAAUUCCCCAGUUUAGCCUUCCCACCUCAAUACAGUCUGAUAACAGAUGAGCCUUUAUUAGUCAAAUCAGCCAAGCAGUUUUUCAGGCUCUUAGUAUUCAGUGAAACCUUUAUAUCCCUUACGGUCCUCCGUCUUCAAGAAAAGUAGAAUGGACUAAAGGUCUUUUAAAAACACACCUCACCAUGCUCAGCCACCAACUUGAAAAGGACUGGACAAUACUUUUACCACUUUCCCUUCUCAGAAGUCAGACCUGUCGUCAGAAUGCUACAAGGUACAGCCCAUUUGAGCUCCUGUAUAGACGCUCCUUUUUAUUACGCCCCAGUCUCAUUCCAGACACCAGACCAACUUAGACUGUGCCCCCCAAAAACUUGUCAUCCCUACUGUCUUCUGUCUAGUCAUACUCCUAUUCACCGUUCUCAACUACUCAUACAUGCCCUGCUCUUGUUUACACUGCCGGUUUACCCUGUUUUUCCAAGCCAUCACAGCUGAUAUCUCCUGGUGCUAUCCCCAAACUACCACUCUUAACUCUUGAAGUAAAUAAAUAAUCUUUGCUGGCAGGACUACGCUGAAUCUCCUUAGGCACUCUAAUUAGAUGUCCUAGGUCCUCCCAAUUCUUAGACCUUUAAUACCUGUUUUUCUCCUUCUGUUAUUCCAUUUAGUUUUUCAGUUCAUACAAAACCGUAUCCAGGCCAUCACCAAUAAUUCUAAAUGACAAAUGUUUCUUCUAACAACCCCACAAUAUCACCCCUUACCACAAAAUCUUCCUUCAGCUUAAUCUCUCCCACUCUAGGUUCCCACGCCGCCCCUAAUCCCGCUCGAAGCAGCCCUGAGAAACAUCACCAAUUAUCUCUCCAUACCACCCCCCAAAAUUUUCGCCGCCCCAACACUUUACCACUAUUUCAUUUUAUUUUUCUUUUUAAUAUAAGACAGGAAUAUCAGGCCUGUGAGCCCAAGCUAAGCCAUCAUAUCCCCUGUGACCUGCACGUACACAUCCAGAUGGCCGGUUCCUGCCUUAACUGAUGACAUUCCACCACAAAAGAAGUGAAAAUGGCCUGUUCCUCCCUUAACUGAUGACAUUGUCUUGUGAAAUUCCUUCUCCUGGCCCAUCCUGGCUCAAAAGCUCCCCCACUGAAUACCUUGUGACCCCCACUCCUGCCCACCAGAGAACAAUCCCCUUUGACUGUAAUUUUCCUUUAUCUACCCAAAUCCCAUAAAACAGCCCCACCCCUAUCUCCCUUUGCUGACUCUCUUUUCGGACUCAGCCCGCCUGCAC